rnacentral:lncRNA from 1 species
UCAUUCUGCGAUCUACCAGUGAUAUACACAGCCUCUACUUUCCAUAUCUCUGUGUUGUCAAUGACAACAUUAAACUCUCUUGUGCUCUGCUGGAAAUAUAAGAGUCGUUUUGGUUUAUGUCUUGUACUCUGAGUAACUACUUUGAAGAGGAGAUGGAAUCUUUGCAGCUCUCAAACUGUUGGAGCUCUUCUCAUACCCUAACAAGAUGGGUAACUGAUCAAAAGUUGAGCGUACAGAAGAUACAUUGGAGGCAAUGUAGCAGAUAUGUCCUAUGGGUUUAAAUCAACUAACAUGAAAUUCUUUACAGAAAAAUUGAAACAUUCUACAGAAUAAAGUACUUUUAAAGUAAAUAUACACAGUGUAGACUCUGUCUUCAAGUAACUUACAUUCUAAGUAGCAUAA